UACACGAUCAGGUGUCUUUCAAGUGAAUCUUUGUCUUAAUUUGUGCUCAUUCAAGAUGUGGCUAGCUCCCUGGAUACAGCACCGUCUGUGGCUUACGUCGAGGUGUUGGCUGAUCUUUGUGUAGUUGCCGGCGUUGAUGUACAACAUCAUUUCUCUCUGUUUACUUUCCAGCAGAUCUAAGCGUAGAAACGUUUGUUUUUAUUUUACUUGAUACAACAGAUGUAUUGUGUAGCUCUUGCUUUGAUCAUAUUAAUACCCGUUUUUUCAUGCAAAGUCCUUUUUAACUAGACAACACCAAGAAUGGCGUAAAGCUAUGGCGUCGAUUAAGUGUUUUUCAUCUCUGUGAUUGGAUUAAAGCGAAAUUUCUGUAGUUUUGGGAUCUAGUGAUGUGAACAUCGACAUUUGGGUGUGUCGGCUAUUUCAAGGAUACUAAGCAGAAGAGACACUUCCCGCUGCCAGGGGUUUGAUGGUUUCACUAGACAAGAGCAGGUACUGAUGCCCCAUAGGGUCUGUGGGACCCCCGGGGGAGAUGUACGACCCGGCGAGUGAACAUGGGCAUUCGGCGACACACACGGGUUAUGCUGGGGGUUGUCUUCCUAACCUACUGUGUCUACGGAAAUUUUCUAGCGUUGUCGUCAGUGGUGGCGUUGGGCGCUAACAUUAUUUGCAACAAGAUCCCAGGACUGGCGCCAAAACAAAGAGUCAUCUGUAGGAGUCUGCCUGACGCCAUCGUUGCUAUAGGUGAAGGCGCUAAGCUGGGCAGUGCCGAGUGUCGCUUUCAGUUCAAGAACAUGCGCUGGAAUUGUACCAGUACUAGCAGCGAGACAUCAAUGUUUGGAUAUGAAGAUC